UUCGGGUUCAAUUCAUUGGUGAAAAUAAUUGUUAGCAUCAUGCUGUUUUGUAGCUGUGGGCCUCGUUUUCUGUCCUCUGGUUCUCUCGCACUACCACGCUGCUACUUCAGCUACUACUCAAGCCGCCUGGCCAGGCAAGGAGCGUUUCGAGAAGAACCUCUAACCCAGACCCCAGCGGCCAAGGACGGGAAGCCGCGCGGCCGCACAGCUCCGGCCAUGGCACGGUUCUCAUCGUCGGCGGCGUCCACUCCGGCAUCACUGGCAUCCAUGGCAACAUCAUCAUCAUCGGCACCGCCGCCGCCAGUACUUGGUGUGGUGUUUGACAUGGACGGCACACUGACUGAACCCACCAUGAAUUGGAAUCAGGUACGUAGCAACCUUGGCAUUCCCAAAGGUUCCGACAUUCUCCUGUAUAUCCAGAGUUUGCCCUCUGGCUCGGACAAGCAGGCUAAAGCGCUUCGGACGGUUCGCGAAGAGGAGGAGCGUGCGUUGCGAGUACUUGCCUUGCGCGAGUCUUGUGUGGAAACACUGCGAGAACUGAAGAAACGUGGUGUUCGCCUGGGCCUUUUGACGAGAAAUUGCACGCGUGGUGUGGACGCUGUGAUGAAGGAGAUCAACAAGCAGGAGCAUGGGGAACAGGGAGGAGGAGGAGGACAGCAGUCGUUCUUCUCACAGAUUGUAACAAGAGAUUUCCGGCCGACCAAACCAGCCCCGGAUGGAUUAUUACACAUCUGCGAGCAAUGGAAGUUUCAACCAAACCAAGUUGUCAUGGUCGGAGACUCACGGGAUGAUCUUGAGUGUGGACGUGAUGCAGGCGCAACAACUGUCGUAAUCAGAACGGACUACAACUCGCUGAUCGCUGACAAGGCCGACCACGCCAUACUGCGCCUGAUAGACUUGUUCACCGCGCUGAGCGGCAGACUGCCUGCAAGUAGCAGCAGUCAGCGGUGAUUGUCACACAACUCCGGCAUGACCAGGCAGCACCUGCGUGUGUGCACGUGCCCAUGUUGUAGCAACGGCCACCCUGCUUGUGAUCAUGUUGUUAGUGUUGUGUUGGAGGCAGCACCUGCGUGUGUGCACGUGCCCAUGUUGUAGCAACACACACCCUGCUUGUGAUCAUGUUGUUAGUGUCGUGUUGGAGGCGGCACCUGCGUGUGUUCACGUGCCCAUGUUGUAGCAACGGCCACCCUGCUUGUGAUCAGGUUGUUAGUGUCGUGUUGGAGGCAGCACCUGCGUGUGUGCACGUGGUCAUGUUGUAGCAACGGCCACCCUGCUUGUGAUCAUGUUGUUAGUGUCGUGUUGGAGGCGGCACCUGCGUGUGUGCACGUGGCCAUGUUGUAGCAACGGCCACCCUGCUUGUGAUCAUGUUGUUAGUGUUGUGUUGGAGGCGGCACCUGCGUGUGUGCACGUGGCCAUGUUGUAGCAACGGCCACCCUGCUUGUGAUCAUGUUGUUAGUGUUGUGUUGGAGGCGGCACCUGCGUGUGUGCACGUGGCCAUGUUGUAGCAACGGCCACCCUGCUUGUGAUCAUGUUGUUAGUGUUGUGUUGGAGGCGGCACCUGCGUGUGUGCACGUGGCCAUGUUGUAGCAACGGCCACCCUGCUUGUGAUCAUGUUGUUAGUGUCGUGUUGGAGGCGGCACCUGCGUGUGUGCACGUGCCCAUGUUGUAGCAACGGCCACCCUGCUUGUGAUCAUGUUGUUAGUGUUGAGUUGGAGGCGGCACCUGCGUGUGUGCACGUGGCCAUGUUGUAGGAACGGCCACCCUGCUUGUGAUCAGGUUGUUAGUGUUGAGUUGGAGGGGGCACCUGCGUGUGUGCACGUGCCCAUGUUGUAGCAACGGCCACCCUGCUUGUGAUCAGGUUGUUAGUGUUGUGUUGGAGGCGGCACCUGCGUGUGUGCACGUGGCCAUGUUGUAGCAACGGCCACCCUGCUUGUGAUCAUGUUGUUAGUGUUGUGUUGGAGGCGGCACCUGCGUGUGUGCACGUGGCCAUGUUGUAGCAACGGCCACCCUGCUUGUGAUCAUGUUGUUAGUGUCGUGUUGGAGGCGGCACCUGCGUGUGUGCACGUGGCCAUGUUGUAGCAACGGCCACCCUGCUUGUGAUCAUGUUGUUAGUGUUGUGUUGGAGGCGGCACCUGCGUGUGUGCACGUGGCCAUGUUGUAGCAACGGCCACCCUGCUUGUGAUCAUGUUGUUAGUGUUGUGUUGGAGGCGGCACCUGCGUGUGUGCACGUGGCCAUGUUGUAGCAACGGCCACCCUGCUUGUGAUCAUGUUGUUAGUGUUGUGUUGGAGGCGGCACCUGCGUGUGUGCACGUGGCCAUGUUGUAGCAACGGCCACCCUGCUUGUGAUCAGGUUGUUAGUGUUGAGUUGGAGGGGGCACCUGCGUGUGUGCACGUGCCCAUGUUGUAGCAACGGCCACCCUGCUUGUGAUCAUGUUGUUAGUGUCGUGUUGGAGGCGGCACCUGCGUGUGUGCACGUGCCCAUGUUGUAGCAACACACACCCUGCUUGUGAUCAUGUUGUUAGUGUUGUGUUGGAGGCGGUACCUGUCUGUGUGCACGUGGCCAUGUUGUGGCAGUACACUGACCCUACUGGUGACCCGGUUGUUAUGUCGUCUAGGCUGAACUCACCUCUGGCCCAGCAAGGGUGUGUGUGCUCGUGAUACGGCUGUACAGGCCUAGCCAGCCUGACUGAGUACAGGGAAUAUGCCUAAUGGUGUUCUACUGCUGACGUCUUGCUCCGGUGUGGGUACUGCACAGCCUAGCCCCCUGCCAAGUGUCAGCAUGGUACCGUGUAUGUAUGGCUGGUCUUGCCAGGGCACGGAGACCUAAGCUCCUGCCCUGGACGCCUGAACAUCGUAUUCAACGUUUCCGAAUAUCAGCCUGCUAGUCACACCGCUGUAACAAACUGAUUCCACGCUGUCCCUAUCUGCCAUCGGUCCAGAAAACGGUCAUGUUUUGACCGGGCUCGGUUUCACCAAUGGCUGCACUUGUCUUAGUGAACGUAGAUGAUCCGUCCCCUUGUCAUAAGGUUCUAAACUGCAAGACUACGAGCUGCUCUCCAUUUCCAGUGCGCUACUGGCGAUUUCCGUUGACCAAACCCUUGACCGAACUUGAUGAUUUGUGUCCUAGUGUAUUGUAGUCCUCUAAGAGAUCACGUGCACAAACACAUUUUCUAGAGGACCUGACUCCUUUUAGAAGCUCAUGCACGUCUGGUAUGUUACAGAUCUAAAGCCAUGCAGCACUCAAUCCAUCCCCAUCACUUGGUUGCCAGCAUGCUGUACAGUACACACUUGAUCAACGCGUUGUAUAAACAGAAUAGUGACUGCUUUCAUUCCGUUCCGUAAUAGUUACUGCUGUCGUUCCGAACAGAAUCACGCCCAUACGUUCAUGGUGGUCGAUGUUGCGCUACAGUCGUUCGACCAGCAUUCUUCCACAGCAGGUCUUGGGCUCACUGUUCAUUUCCCGGUGUCAACUGGCUUUCUUAUCAUAGCAAUCAAGAGUACAAGGUUUUCUUUUUCUUUUGUUUUGCCUAGUCGAUACUGCGUGGAUUACAGUAGACUUGGUUUCCUCUGCAUUUUAGUUUUUUUCCCGUUGUGAGUUGUGGUCUUUGUCACAUGCGCUGUUGACAGUUUUAAAACCGGUUUUGCCGGAGACACAUUAUGAUCUAAAGACGGUACUGACUAUUGGCUCUCUAUUA